rnacentral:lncRNA from 1 species
CCGAGGCCGAGACUCCUGGCCUGGCCUCCUUGGGCCCACGACGCCUGCCCCGCGGAGCGGACCCAUGGGCCUGAGGUUUGUGUGCGGGGCCUCAGGCGAGCGCUGGCGCAGCCUGUCCCCCAUCGUCUGCGCCCUGCGGGCCUGGCCCUCCCCGUGGAAGGACCGCGGGCUUCGGGGCCCCACGCUGGGGGGCUGACUCCUGCCACACACACAGCGGUGGCCGCGGGCCUGGGGCGGCAGCACAGCCAUUCUGCUCGGGCUGCGUGAGCUGACCCCGCUCUCUGUGCACCUACUUUUGCUGCGUUUGGUGCUGAGCCUGAAGUCCCAGGACAGGCGGCUGAGGGGGAAAGAUGGUGUGAAUUGGGUGGGCAGAGACAACUGAAAGCCACAGGACCCGGUUGGCACCUUUUUGGCCGCCUGCGCCUUUGCCUGCAGCCCCGCUCCCUGGGUCACCCGAAGGAGGAGCUGGCGCUCUUUCCGGGCGCAGAAGCACCCGACCCACGCUGGAGGAAACGGUCCCUCUGGGCAGGAGAAGCUUUGGGCCUGGCUGGAGCACACUCACGGAACCACGCCAACGCCUGGCCUGUAGCCAGCUCCCACCUCCCCUCCCACCUUCUAAAAUGCUUGCGGAUCUCACGUGGCCGACCCUAACCAGAUACACAUGGGGAAAGGAAUCAGGUGGCACACAUACCGCCUUUACUCCAUAGAGAACUUCCAAUUGUGGGUAAGAACAAAGCCCCACCUCUUCCUAAUAGAUGCAGUUUUCCACCUGCAGCCAAAAAGACAACCUGUUAUUAGCUUUUUUCCCAGAGGACAGGCAUCUCUAUGAAACUGCCAUUGCAAAAUUUGCCGACAGUGAGAUAACCAGCUCCAUUUUGCUUCUAACCUCCAUGCCCUCCUUGUUUACUGCUGCACGCAGGUUGAACUGUGGGAGGAACUUAGUUUAAAACAAAGAUGAUAACAGCCCUUUCCCAAAGGAAACCUUUCCUGGGGAUUAGCCUGCUUUUGUGGGACCAACAGAUUAGCCACAAGAUUAGAAACUACGGUUGAAGAGUCACGCAGCGGGAGGCUACAGGAUUCUGACCCUCCCCAAACUGCUCCUGGCGAUAACAUCACCAUCGUAAAGCCUAAGAUCAGCACUUGGUGGGUCACCUGGCACCACCCAGGCUCAUCUGAUGUUGUGGCACCCAGGAACUGACUCAGUGCGAAAACAGCUUCGACUCCCUGUGAUUUCAUCUCUGACCUGACCAAUGGGUACUUCUGACUCACUGGCUGCCCCCCACCCACCAGCUUAUCUUUAAAAACUCCAAACCCCAGAUGCUCAGGGAGACCGAGUAAUAAUAAAACUCCAGUCUCCCACACAGCUAGCUCUGCGUGAAUUACCUUUUCUCUGUUGCAAAUGCCCUUUCUUGAUAAAUUGGCUGUCUAGGUAACAGGGAAGGUGAACCCACUGGGCAGUUACACUUUUAUCCACCCUUCCAGCUGGAUCACGCGCCCUCUUCAAUGACAUGACACGCAGCUAGAGUGUAUGAGCUUGCUGCCGGCACCUUCCGUCCUGGAUCGCAUAGCAAGGCCUCAAUGGACAGCCAGGUGCCUGGUCCGGUCCCACUUUUUUUUCUGUCCUGUUCUCGUUUCCUCUUUGCUUGGCCAAAGAGGGUUGGGCCAGGGUCCUGAGUGCAAAGGCUUGGCUUGGUGAAUUAAAGUGGCAGUAGCCGUGUGGCAGAGAAAAUUUGUAGAUGGGUGAAAUCCUGGGCCUACACAGUGACAAAGUGUAUAUAGACAGCCAGCCUAGUUGGUGGAUGUGACAACCCCAGACUCUUCUAGAUUUGUGGAUCCGUGCACCUGCCAGACCUGUCUCUGAGCCAUCUGGGGAGGCUGGGUAAGAUUUCCCCCGUCAGGGCCUGAGCCUCAUCUCCAAGCUGCUGGCUUCAGCCCAGCUGCCACCAGCGCUGUCUCUGUCUUGCGCUUUCCAGAGAGAGACUGACUCAUUUUGAGCUCCAGGCCUACCAGGCAGCCCAACCGCGGCAGUAACUGCCUCUCACACUGAGGAUGGCUCAUGCUCUGGUCCAGCCAUGGCUUGAACACCUCCCAACAAGAACAAAGCCAGACUCAUUCUCCCUAGCAUCUUCUUCCUUGCUCAAAGAUCCCACACCCCGUUAGAAGCUGGAACUGGGUCCUUGUCACCUUCCUCACCUCCCCAGUCGUAGUCUGGUUAAUCCUUACAUCUCACCACGGUCACCGUGGCUAGAUGUGACCUCCGCGAUGCUUCAGGCACGUACCAGGGCAGCCUGGGCAGGGCUGGUCACUGUGAUCUCAUGAGGUGUGAACUUGACCCCGGCCUUCUUUCCUGGGAUGCCGGCUAAGGACACAAGUUCAGUGUUUGCCCUGGCUUGUAGCCCAGCGGGGGCUCCGUCAUCCCCUGGGGAAUGCCUCGGCCUGCAAGACCGCAUACCGCAUUGGAACAGGGAAACCACCUACUUCAGCACCUCCCUCAGCAAGGUGGCAGGUCCCAACAAGCCUUGCACCACGAGGAAGUGGCAGUGGCAUUCGGGAUAUGGCUCCCUGGCCAGCUUGUGAAGUUCAAGGGGCUCGUUACUUCUUACAGCUCACAGUCCCUCCCGGGUCCAGCACACCUGAGGGCUGACCUCCCUCUUGAUUAGUGCAGGGGAAAAGCACUUUAAAAAGCUGUGUCAUGCGUAACUUGCACAUCUUCUGAUUCUGACCUGAAACUGCAUCCCAGGUCGGCACAGACGCAACCCAGUCUCCUCCCACCUCCGAGAGUGCAGUGUCCUGAAUGGAGAACCCCAGCACCCAGAAGCAUCCACUGAAGGACGCAAACGUCCGUGGUUGACAGAAAUUACACUGGCCAGAAUCCCCAGUCCCCAUGAGGCUUGUCCAGACGCAGUGAACCAGUCGCAGCUGAUAACACACAGACCAUUCCCGAUCCCAGAGGUGCAUUUCAGGAUUCAUUCUAUUUCAUCAGGUGACGUUUUAACAGAAACAAAACCGCAGGCAGCGGGUGGGGGGAGCUGGAGGUUGGAAUCACACCAACAUUAUAGCAUUAUUACUCUAAAAAAAAUUACUUUUUUGGCUGGGUGCUGUGGCUCACACCUAUAAUUGGGGGGCCAAGGCAGGUGGA